CCUACGGGAGGCAGCAGUGGGGAAUAUUGCACAAUGGGGGAAACCCUGAUGCAGCGACGCCGCGUGAGUGAAGAAGUAUUUCGGUAUGUAAAGCUCUAUCAGCCGGGAAGAAGAAAGACGGUACCUGACUCAGAAGCCCCGGCUAACUACGUGCCAGCAGCCGCGGUAAUACGGAGGGGGCAAGCGUUAUCCGGAUUUACUGGGUGUAAAGGGAGCGUAGACGGCUGUGCAAGUCUGAAGUGAAAGCCCAGGGCUCAACCCUGGGACUGCUUUGGAAACUGGGGAGCUAGAGUGCUGGAGAGGUAAGUGGAAUUCCUAGUGUAGCGGUGAAAUGCGUAGAUAUUAGGAGGAACACCAGUGGCGAAGGCGGCUUACUGGACAGUAACUGACGUUGAGGCUCGAAAGCGUGGGGAGCAAACAGGAUUAGAUACCCCUGUAGUC
rnacentral:rRNA from 1 species